rnacentral:tRNA from 1 species
GGACCCAUGGUGUAGCCUGGAUAUCACUGGGGCUUGCGGAGCCUCAAACCCGUGUUCGAAUCGCGGUGGGUCCG